GGGGAAUAUUGCACAAUGGGCGAAAGCCUGAUGCAGCGACGCCGCGUGAGCGAAGAAGUAUUUCGGUAUGUAAAGCUCUAUCAGCAAGGAAGAUAAUGACGGUACUUGACUAAGAAGCCCCGGCUAACUACGUGCCAGCAGCCGCGGUAAUACGUAGGGGGCAAGCGUUAUCCGGAUUUACUGGGUGUAAAGGGAGUGUAGGUGGCAUGGCAAGUCAGAAGUGAAAACCCGGGGCUCAACCCCGGGACUGCUUUUGAAACUGCCAAGCUAGAGUGCAGGAGAGGUAAGUGGAAUUCCUAGUGUAGCGGUGAAAUGCGUAGAUAUUAGGAGGAACACCAGUGGCGAAGGCGACUUACUGGACUGUAACUGACACUGAGGCUCGAAAGCGUGGGGAGCAAAC
rnacentral:rRNA from 1 species